rnacentral:tRNA from 1 species
GGCGCGGUGGCCGAAUGGCUAGGCACCGGACUGCAAAUCCGUUUAUCCCGGUUCGAUUCCGGGCCGCGCCUCCA